rnacentral:rRNA from 1 species
GACGAACGCUGGCGGCGUGCCUAAUACAUGCAAGUUGAGCGCUGAAGGUUGGUACUUGUACCAACUGGAUGAGCAGCGAACGGGUGAGUAACGCGUGGGGAAUCUGCCUUUGAGCGGGGGACAACAUUUGGAAACGAAUGCUAAUACCGCAUAAAAACUUUAAACACAAGUUUUAAGUUUGAAAGAUGCAAUUGCAUCACUCAAAGAUGAUCCCGCGUUGUAUUAGCUAGUUGGUGAGGUAAAGGCUCACCAAGGCGAUGAUACAUAGCCGACCUGAGAGGGUGGUCGGCCACAUUGGGACUGAGACACGGCCCAAACUCCUACGGGAGGCAGCAGUAGGGAUUCUUCGGCAAUGGACGAAAGUCUGACCGAGCAACGCCGCGUGAGUGAAGAAGGUUUUCGGAUCGUAAAACUCUGUUGGUAGAGAAGAACGUUGGUGAGAGUGGAAAGCUCAUCAAGUGACGGUAACUACCCAGAAAGGGACGGCUAACUACGUG